GAUGAACGCUGGCGGCGUGCUUAAUACAUGCAAGUCGAGCGAAUAGACGAUGAUUUUGUUCCGCUGACGUUAGCGGCGCACGGGUGAGUAACACGUGGAUAACCUACCUAUAAUACUGGUAUAACUUCGGGAAACCGGAGCAAAUACCGGAUAAUAUAUUGAACCGCAUGGUUCAAUAGUGAAAGACGGUGUUUCUGUCACUUAUAGAUGGAUCUCGGCCGCAUUAGAUAGUUGUGAAGGUAACGGGCUACCAAGGCAACGAUGCGUAGCCGACCUGAGAGGGGGAUAGGCCACACUGGAAGUGGACCACGGACCAGGCUCCUGCGAGAGGCAGCAGUCGGCAAUGUUACGCAGUGGGCGAGAGCCCGACGGAGCAGCGCCAAGUGAGAGAUGACGGCGUUCGGAUCGUGAUACUCUGUUAUUAGGUAAGAACCGAUGUGUACGUAACUAUGGCCGGCUUGACGGUACCUAAUAAGAAAGCCACGGCUAACUACGUG
rnacentral:rRNA from 1 species